rnacentral:rRNA from 1 species
CCUACGGGAGGCAGCAGUGAGGAAUAUUGGUCAAUGGGCGCGAGCCUGAACCAGCCAAGUCGCGUGAGGGAAGACGGUCCUAUGGAUUGUAAACCUCUUUUGUCGGGGAGCAAAAGACGCCACGCGUGGCGUUCCGAGAGUACCCGAAGAAAAAGCAUCGGCUAACUCCGUGCCAGCAGCCGCGGUAAUACGGAGGAUGCGAGCGUUAUCCGGAUUUAUUGGGUUUAAAGGGGGCGCAGGCGGAAGAUCAAGGCAGCGGUAAAAGUGGGGGGCGCAACCUCUUCGUGCCGUUGAAACUGGUUUUCUUGAGUGAGCGAGAAGUAUGCGGAAUGCGUGGUGUAGCGGUGAAAUGCAUAGAUAUCACGCAGAACUCCGAUUGCGAAGGCAGCAUACCGGCGCUCAACUGACGCUCAUGCACGAAAGUGUGGGUAUCGAACAGGAUUAGAUACCCCAGUAGUC